rnacentral:rRNA from 1 species
AUGCGGAGGAAAGUAGGGGAAAUGGCCGAUACUACUUGAAGAAUUCAUCUUUGGCUGAUAGGUACUGUAGCUGGUAUUGCUGUGAUUGGUUUAGUAUGUGUUUUAUUUUAUGGUUCAAAUUCUGGAUUGGGUUCAUGGCGGCCUCGACAUGGUCGUGGGCGACCUCCAUCAAGGCUAAGGCCGCCGCUGUGGAACGGAUAG